rnacentral:rRNA from 1 species
UACGAAGGGGGCUAGCGUUGUUCGGAAUUACUGGGCGUAAAGCGCGCGCAGGCGGCUCUUCAAGUCAGGGGUGAAAGCCCAGAGCUCAACUCUGGAACUGCCUUUGAGACUGUGGAGCUUGAGUACGGAAGAGGUGAGUGGAAUUCCCAGUGUAGAGGUGAAAUUCGUAGAUAUUGGGAAGAACACCGGUGGCGAAGGCGGCUCACUGGCCCGUUACUGACGCUCAGGCGCGACAGCGUGGGGAUCAAACAGG